GACGAACGCUGGCGGCGUGCUUAAUACAUGCAAGUCGAACGGAAAGGCCUCGUUCGGGGGCUUCUCGAGUGGCGAACGGGUGAGUAACACAUGAGUAACCUGCCCUUCACUUUGGGAUAACUUCAGGAAACUGGGGCUAAUACCGGCUAGGUGCUCCUGCUGCAUGGAUGGGGUUGGAUAGAUUGGGGGGUUGGGGCUGGACUCGCAGCUUAUCAGCUUGUUGGUGGGGUAGGGGCUUACCAAGGCUUAGAAUGGUAGCCGACCUGAGAGGGUGGGCGGCCACCAUGGGACUGCGAGACGGCCCAGACGCGUACGGGAGGCAGCAGAGGGGAAUAUUGCCGAAUGGGUGCACGCCUGAUGCAGCGACGCCGGGGGCGGGAUGACGGCCUUCGGGUUGAAAACCGCUUUCGCUCAUGACGAAGCUUUGUGUGACGGUAGUGGGUAAAGAAGCACCGGCUAACUACGUG
rnacentral:rRNA from 1 species